AUUCUUAUUAUAAUAAAAAACUUUUAACUAUUUAUUAUUCACUUUUGCAGACACUUGAAUAUUGCAAAGGAAGGUUUUACUCAAGCUAGUUUAGGCCUUCUUGCAAAUCAAAGGAAACGUCAGUUGCUGAUUGGACUUCUGAAAUCUCUGAGAACUAUAAAAACAUUGGUAUAUAUGGGUCAUUUAAAAAAAAUUAAAACUGAAUUUUGUGGUUGAAACAGAUUUUACCUUUGAUUUUUGUUUUUUCAGCAAAGAACAGAUGUACGGUUAAGUGAAAUGCUGGAGGAGGAAGAUUAUCCAGGAGCUAUUCAGUUGUGCCUUGAAUGUCAAAAAGCUGCCAGCACUUUUAAACAUUACAGUUGUAUAAGUGAACUGAAUUCAAAGCUGCAAGAUACUUUGGAACAGAUUGAGGAACAGCUGGACGUAGCUCUUUCCAAAAUCUGCAAGAAUUUUGACAUUAACCAUUAUACCAAGGUUCAACAAGCUUAUCGACUUCUUGGAAAAACACAGACAGCAAUGGAUCAACUUCAUAUGCACUUCACCCAAGCCAUUCACAACACCGUGUUUCAAGUUGUUCUUGGUUAUGUGGAACUAUGUGCAGGAAACACAGACACAAAAUUCCAAAAGCUGCAAUAUAAGGAUCUCUGUACACAUGUUACACCAGACAGCUAUAUUCCAUGCCUUGCAGACCUGUGCAAAGCACUGUGGGAAGUUAUGCUCAGCUAUUAUAGGACUAUGGAAUGGCAUGAAAAGCAUGACAAUGAGGAUACUGCUUCAGCUUCUGAAGGGAGUAAUAUGAUAGGUACUGAAGAAACUAAUUUUGAUCGUGGCUACAUAAAAAAGAAAUUAGAACAUGGACUUACACGAAUAUGGCAGGAUGUUCAGCUAAAAGUAAAAACCUACUUGCUUGGAACUGAUUUGUCUAUAUUCAAAUAUGAUGAUUUCAUCUUUGUUUUGGAUAUAAUCAGCAGGUUGAUGCAAGUUGGAGAAGAAUUUUGUGGUAGCAAGUCUGAAGUUUUACAGGAAUCUAUUAGAAAACAAAGUGUCAAUUAUUUCAAGAAUUACCAUAGAACACGGCUCGAUGAACUGAGAAUGUUCUUAGAGAAUGAGACUUGGGAACUUUGUCCUGUUAAAUCAAAUUUCAGCAUCUUGCAACUUCAUGAAUUUAAAUUCAUGGAACAGUCUCGCUCCCCAUCAGUUUCACCUAGUAAACAGCCAGUCUCAACUUCUUCAAAAACAGUGACCUUGUUUGAGCAGUACUGUAGUGGUGGGAAUCCAUUUGAAAUUCAGGCCAACCACAAAGAUGAAGAAACAGAAGAUGUCUUAGCUUCUAAUGGGUAUGAAUCCGAUGAACAAGAAAAGAGUGCCUAUCAAGAGUAUGACAGUGACAGUGAUGUUCCUGAGGAACUCAAACGAGACUAUGUGGAUGAGCAGACAGGAGAUGUUCCUGUGAAAAGUGUUUCUCGGGAAACUCUAAAAAGCAGGAAGAAAUCAGAUUACAGUCUAAAUAAAGUGAAUGCACCUAUCUUAACAAAUACAACGUUGAAUGUAAUAAGACUUGUUGGAUAUGUUUAUAUGAAGUCCAAGAAUGUACAUAACUCAUAUCCAAGGCAUUCCUUGCCUGGCAUCAGAAUACCUAGAAAGGUAAAUUAGUAAUGAGAAGAUUUCUAGUGAGUAUAUCAUCAGAUGAAAGUAAAACUGAGAAAUUUGAAGUCUGAUGAAGUUUUCCCGACCACAAAUUAGACUGCAUCACUCCUGUUGACUAGACGGCUGUGUAACUGAAUCAGUGGUUCUCUCCUGAACAGUGCUGAAGAGCCCGGCACACCCUGCUUCCUGGGAAGUUUCAGCUGAUCCUACUGCCACACUCACAGCAGCAGAAGAAAGAAAGGAGAAGGUGCCAAGUCCACACCUCAGUCACCUAGUGGUUUUGACAUCUGGGGAUACGUUGCAUGGGUUGGCAGAAAGAGUGGUAGCCACGGAAUCCUUGGUAUUCUUGGCUGAACAGUUUGAGUUCCUUCAGCCACAUCUGGAUGCUGUGAUGCCUGCAGUCAAAAAGCCCUUUCUUCAGCAGUUCUAUUCUCAGUCUCAACCGCCAGUGAACUACGCAAACCAAUAUACUGGAUUGUAGCUGGUAAAGCCCUUGAUUAUGAACAGAUGCUGCUCCUCAUGGCUAAUGUGAAAUGGGAUGUAAAAGAAAUUAUGUCACAGCACAAUAUAUAUGUAGAUGCACUAUUAAAGGAAUUUGAGCAGUUUAACAGGAGGCUAAAUGAAGUUUCUAAGAGAGUUCGCAUACCCUUGCCUGUGUCUAAUAUACUUUGGGAACAUUGUAUACGAUUGGCUAAUCGAACUAUCGUAGAAGGAUAUGCCAAUGUCAAGAAGUGCAGUAAUGAGGGUCGUGCCCUGAUGCAAUUGGAUUUUCAACAGUUUUUAAUGAAACUUGAAAAACUAACAGAUAUUAGACCCAUUCCUGAUAAAGAAUUUGUGGAAACUUAUAUUAAAGCUUAUUACUUAACUGAGAAUGACAUGGAACGCUGGAUCAAAGAGCACAGGGAAUAUUCAACGAAGCAGCUGACCAAUCUGGUGAAUGUUUGCCUGGGAUCCCAUAUCAAUAAGAAAGCAAGACAAAAACUUCUAGCAGCUAUAGAUGAUAUAGACAGACCUAAAAGAUAAUGAACACAGCUCUUUUUCCUCAAUGGCAUUGAUCCUCACUCAACAUAUAUGACCUGAAAGCCAGUUUUUUAAUGCACUUCUGACAACUAUCUGCUAAGAAAACUUUGUGCAUGUUUUUUUUUGACUGGAAAGUGGAACAUAUUGAAAUGUGUAUGGUGUUCUCAUGACUUUUAUAUGCUGUGGUCUCUUCAACUUUUGGUCUCAUUUGUUGUAAUCUGAAAUGAUAUUGUUGCCUUGUCAUAACAAUGGUUAUGUGACUACAGUUAUACAUUUUACAGAAGAAUGUGACUACAGUUAUACAUUUUACGGAAGAAUGUACCAUAAGUAUAUAAUUAGAAGAACAGUGGCUUAAUAUAUGUAUGGGAAGUUUAUGGAAAAUGAAGUUGGCAUUUUUCUACCCUCUGAGCUUGGUUCUUAAUAAGCAUAAUGUGAGGGUGAAUAUGUAGUAUCUCCUAAUUAUGAGCACUGCAUGAGAAUUAAAAAACACAUGUAAGUAAAAUAGUUGAAAAAUCAGUUAUGUUCUCUGUUUUUAAAAUGUCAAAGUUUAUGUCAGGGUUAAUUUAGUUAUAACAAAGUGAUCAUAAAUGAUGAAUUUAAUAAAUAUACUCUAGUAUGAUCA
rnacentral:sRNA from 1 species